GGCGCCAAGGCAGCCAGGAAACGUGUGGGCCUCUCUGCUGCGGUCUCCAAGGGCUGACCGCUGCCGGUGGCGGGUCGUGGGGGCUGACCGCCGCUCCGCCCUUGACGGGAGAGGCUGCUGCUUGUAGAGGAAACAGCUUUGAAGUGUGGAGCAGGAAAGGAGCAGUUUCUGAGCUGCAAAAACUAGUUUCUAAACAGCACCCCUUCAACCUGUACAAUUCCACAGCUAGUAGAAAUCCAAAGUCUUCCGCAAGAUUAUGCAGAAAUAUUAUUUUCUGAUGAUCAUCUCUGCCUUUGAACCUCUACUUCCACCAUUGCUGAUGCUUUUUCUCAUCUCUUUGACCCAGCGCAGUUCUCCCCUCUUUGAAUCUUUGGCACAGAACUAAUGCCUGUAUUCAGAGUAUCAUCUUCAUCCCAAGUCCAUUGUCAGAACAGAGAUACUUUCUUUCCUGAGAGAAGUUCUGGUUCUAGCUGUUUAUGACAUUUUUCCUACCUUAUUGUUCUACCUUUUGGGACUGUGUUGAAUUAAAGAGUUAAUUGUUAAAGCCAGUAUGGCCACAGGAGGAGGUCCUUUUGAAGAUGGCAUGAAUGAUCAGGAUUUACCAAAUUGGAGCAAUGAGAAUGUUGAUGACAGGCUCAACAAUAUGGAUUGGGGUGGCCAACAGAAGAAAGCAAAUAGAUCAUCAGAAAAGAAUAAGAAAAAGUUUGGUGUAGAAAGUGAUAAAAGAGUAACUAAUGAUAUUUCUCCGGAGUCGUCACCGGGAGUUGGAAGGCGAAGAACGAAGACUCCACAUACAUUCCCACACAGUAGAUACAUGAGUCAGAUGUCUGUCCCAGAGCAGGCAGAAUUAGAGAAACUGAAACAGCGGAUAAACUUCAGUGAUUUAGAUCAGAGAAGCAUUGGAAGUGAUUCUCAAGGUAGAGCAACAGCUGCUAACAACAAACGUCAGCUUAGUGAAAACCGAAAGCCCUUCAACUUUUUGCCUAUGCAGAUUAAUACUAACAAGAGCAAAGAUGCAUCUACAAGUCCCCCAAACAGAGAAACGAUUGGAUCAGCACAAUGUAAAGAGUUGUUUGCUUCUGCUCUAAGUAAUGACCUCUUGCAAAACUGUCAGGUGUCUGAAGAAGAUGGGAGGGGAGAACCUGCAAUGGAGAGCAGCCAGAUUGUAAGCAGGCUUGUUCAAAUUCGUGAUUAUAUUACUAAAGCUAGUUCCAUGCGGGAAGAUCUUGUAGAGAAAAAUGAGAGAUCUGCUAAUGUUGAGCGCCUUACUCAUCUAAUAGAUCACCUUAAAGAACAAGAAAAGUCAUAUAUGAAAUUUCUUAAAAAAAUCCUUGCUAGAGAAAAUGAGGAGGAGGAUGUUCGGACUAUAGAUUCAGCUGUGGGAUCUGGUUCUGUAGCUGAGAGCACAUCGCUAAACAUAGAUGUGCAGUCUGAGGCUUCAGAUACCACGGAGGAGGCAUCUUUUAGUCUGAGAGUUCGGCCAUGCAUUGAGGACAAACUAGGGAAUUCAGCUUCACAAGAACAGGUUUCAGACAUUGACGUUACUACAAGUCCGAAAGGGAAAGGUGACAGACCUCAGAAUGACAGGGAACUGAGGCCUAAUAGGAAAUAUAGCCGAAAACAUGGAUUUCCCUCAAAGGCCAGAGAUCCUCAGCAGGAGCCUAUGGAAGAGAUAGAAAAUUUGAAGAAACAACAUGAUUUAUUAAAAAGAAUGUUACAACAACAGGAGCAACUAAGAGCUCUACAGGGACGGCAGGCUGCGCUUCUAGCUCUGCAACAUAAAGCAGAGCAAGCUAUUGCAGUGAUGGAUGAUUCUGAAAAGGUUGCAGGGACUACUCCUGGCCAUCAUACUAUACCAUGCAGACAGCCAGAUCGCUCUUCUUUUCAUCAGAGAGUACCCUUAAGAGUUGUUGCAGAAACCGCAGGUAGCUUAUCUGGCGUCAGUAUAACAUCUGAACUAAAUGAAGAACUGAAUGACUUAAUUCAGCGUUUUCAUAAUCAGCUUCGUGAUUCUCAGCCUCCAGCUGUUCCAGACAAUAGAAGACAGGCAGAAAGUCUUUCAUUAACUAGGGAGGUUUCCCAGAGCAGGAAUCCAUCAGCUUCAGAACGUUUACCUGAUGAGAAAGUCCAAUUGUUUAGCAAAAUGAGAGUGCUGCAGGAAAAGAAACAAAAAAUGGACAAAUUGCUUGGAGAACUUCAUACACUUCGAGAUCAGCAUCUUAACAAUUCAUCAUCCUCUCCACAAAGGAGUAUGGAUCAGAGAAGUACUUCAGCUCCCUCUGCUCCUGUAGGCUUGGCACCGGUUGUCAAUGGAGAGUCCAGUAGCCUCACAUCAUCUGGUCCUUAUCCUGCUGCUGCUUUAGUCUCUCAGAAUGAGAGUGAAAAUGAAGUCCAUCUCAAUCCAUCUGAAAAACUCCAAAAGUUAAAUGAAGUUCGAAAGAGAUUGAAUGAGCUAAGAGAAUUAGUUCAUUAUUAUGAACAAACAUCAGACAUGAUGACAGAUGCUGUGAAUGAAAACAGGAAAGAUGAAGAAACUGAAGAGUCAGAAUAUGAUUCUGAGCAUGAAAAUUCUGAGCCUGUUACUAACAUUCGAAAUCCACAAGUAGCUUCCACUUGGAAUGAAGUAAAUAGUAAUAGUAAUGUACAAUGUGUUUCUAAUAAUAGAGAUGGGAGAACAGUUAAUUCUAAUUGUGAAAUUAACAACAGAUCUGCUGCCAACAUACGGGCUCUAAAUGUGCCUCCUUCUUUAGCAGAUUGUCGAUAUAAUAGAGAAGGAGAACAGGAGAUUCAUGUUGCACAAGGUGAAGAUGAUGAGGAAGAGGAGGAAGAAGCAGAGGAGGAGGGAGUCAGUGGAGCUUCGUUAUCUAGUCACAGGAGCAGUCUGGUUGAUGAGCAUCCGGAAGAUGCUGAAUUUGAACAGAAGAUCAACAGACUUAUGGCUGCAAAACAGAAACUUAGACAGUUACAAGAUCUUGUUGCUAUGGUACAGGAUGAUGAUGCAGCUCAAGGAGUUAUCUCUGCCAAUAUGUCAAAUUUGGAUGACUUCUACCCAGCAGAAGACGACACCAAGCAAAAUUCAAAUAACACUAGAGGAAAUGCCAAUAAAACACAGAAAGAUACUGGAGUAAAUGAAAAGACGAGAGAGAAAUUUUAUGAGGCUAAACUACAGCAGCAACAGAGAGAGCUAAAACAGUUGCAGGAAGAAAGAAAGAAACUGAUUGACAUUCAGGAGAAAAUUAAAGCAUUGCAAAUGGCAUGCCCUGACUUACAGCUGUCAGCUGCUAGUGCGGGUAAUUGUCCCACCAAAAAAUAUAUGCCAGCUGUUACUUCCACCCCAACUGUUAAUCAACACGAGACCAGUACAAGCAAAUCUGUUUUUGAGCCUGAAGAUUCUUCAAUAGUAGAUAAUGAGUUGUGGUCAGAAAUGAGAAGACAUGAAAUGUUGAGGGAAGAGCUGCGACAGAGAAGAAAGCAGCUUGAAGCUCUGAUGGCUGAACAUCAGAGGAGGCAAGGUCUAGCUGAAACUGCAUCUCCAGUGGCUGUGUCAUUGAGAAGUGAUGGAUCUGAGAAUCUAUGUACUCCUCAGCAAAGUAGAACAGAAAAAACAAUGGCAACUUGGGGAGGGUCUACCCAGUGUGCACUAGAUGAAGAAGGAGAUGAAGACGGUUACCUUUCUGAAGGAAUUGUUCGGACAGAUGAAGAGGAGGAAGAAGAGCAAGAUGCCAGUUCCAACGAUAACUUUUCUGUGUAUCCUUCUAACAGUGUGAAUCAUAACUCCUACAGUGGAAAGGAAACUAAAAAUAGGUGGAAGAACAAUUGCCCUUUUUCAGCAGAUGAAAAUUAUCGUCCUUUAGCCAAGACAAGGCAACAGAAUAUCAGCAUGCAACGGCAAGAAAACCUCCGUUGGGUGUCAGAGCUCUCUUACGUAGAAGAGAAAGAACAAUGGCAAGAACAAAUCAAUCAGCUGAAGAAACAGCUUGAUUUUAGUGUCAAUAUUUGUCAGACUUUGAUGCAAGACCAGCAGACUCUAUCUUGUCUGCUACAAACUCUUCUCACGGGUCCUUACAGUGUUAUGCCCAGCAAUGUUGCAUCUCCUCAAGUACACUUCAUAAUGCACCAGUUGAACCAGUGCUACACUCAGCUAACAUGGCAACAGAAUAAUGUUCAGAGGUUGAAACAAAUGUUAAAUGAGCUUAUGCGCCAACAAAAUCAGCAUCCAGAAAAACCUGGAAGCAAGGAAAGAGGCAGUAGUGCAUCGCACCCUCCUUCUCCCAGUCUAUUUUGUCCUUUCAGCUUUCCAACACAGCCUGUAAAUCUCUUCAAUAUACCUGCAUUUACUAACUUUUCAUCAUUUGCACCAGGUAUGAAUUUCAGCCCUUUAUUUCCUUCUAAUUUCGGAGAUUUUUGUCAGAAUAUCUCUACACCCAGUGAACAGCAGCAACCCUUAGCCCAGAAUUCUUCAGGAAAAACAGAAUAUAUGGCUUUUCCAAAACCUUUUGAAAGCAGUUCCUCUAUUGGAGCAGAGAAAGCAAGGAAUAAAAAACUGCCUGAAGAGGAGGUGGAAAGCAGUAGGACACCAUGGUUAUAUGACCAAGAAGGUGAAGUAGAGAAACCGUUUAUCAAGACUGGAUUUGCAGUGUCUGUAGAAAAAUCUACAAAUAGUAACCGCAAAAAUCAAGUAGAUACAAACGGAAGAAGACGCCAUUUUGAUGAAGAAUCAUUGGAAAGCUUUAGCAGUAUGCCUGAUCCAGUAGAUCCAACAACAGUGACUAAAACAUUCAAGACAAGAAAAGCAUCUGCACAGGCCAGCCUGGCAUCUAAAGAUAAAACUCCCAAGUCAAAAAGUAAGAAGAGGAAUUCUACUCAGCUGAAGAGCAGAGUUAAAAACAUCAUUGUCACUUUUUUUACUCAAGGGUAUGAAAGUGCCAGUAUGUCUAGCACAUGUGAACCUUGCAAAAGUAGGAACAGACAUUCAGCCCAGACUGAAGAGCCUGUUCAAGCAAAAGUAUUCAGCAGAAAGAAUCAUGAGCAACUGGAAAAAAUAAUAAAAUGUAAUAGGUCUACAGAAAUAUCUUCAGCACAUGCUAGGAGAAUACUACAGCAGUCUAACAGAAAUGCAUGCAAUGAACCGCCAGAAACUGGGAGUGAUUUUUCCAUGUUUGAAGCUUUGCGAGAUACUAUUUAUUCUGAAGUAGCUACAUUAAUUUCUCAAAAUGAAUCUCGUCCACAUUUUCUUAUUGAACUCUUCCAUGAGCUUCAGCUACUUAAUACAGACUACUUGAGACAGAGGGCUUUAUAUGCAUUGCAGGACAUAGUAUCCAGACAUAUUUCUGAGAGCCAUGAAAAAGGAGAAAAUGUAAAGUCAGUAAACUCUGGUACUUGGAUAGCGUCAAACUCAGAACUUACUCCUAGUGAGAGCCUUGCUACUACUGAUGAUGAAACUUUUGAGAAGAACUUUGAAAGAGAAACACAUAAAAUAAGUGAGCAGAAUGAUGCUGAUAAUGCUAGUGUCCUGUCUGUAUCAUCAAAUUUUGAGCCUUUUGCAACAGAUGAUCUAGGUAACACCGUGAUUCACUUAGAUCAAGCAUUAGCCAGAAUGAGGGAAUAUGAGCGCAUGAAGACUGAGGCUGAAAGUAACUCAAAUAUGAGAUGCACCUGCAGGAUUAUUGAGGAUGAAGAUGGUGCUGAUGCAAGUACUACAGUUAAUAAUUUAGAAGAAACUCCCAUUAUUGAAAAUCAUAGUUCACAACAACCUGUAAGUGAAGUUUCUACCGUCCCAUGUCCUAGAAUUGAUACUCAGCAGCUGGACCGGCAAAUUAAAGCAAUUAUGAAAGAAGUCAUUCCCUUUUUGAAGGAUUUUUCUCAGGAGCACAUGGAUGAAGUAUGCUCCUCGCAACUUUUAACUUCAGUAAGGCGCAUGGUUUUGACCCUUACCCAGCAAAAUGAUGAGAGCAAAGAGUUUGUAAAGUUCUUUCAUAAACAACUUGGAAGUAUAUUACAGGAUUCACUGGCAAAAUUUGCUGGCAGAAAACUGAAAGACUGUGGAGAAGAUCUUCUUGUAGAGAUAUCUGAAGUGUUGUUCAAUGAAUUGGCUUUCUUUAAGCUUAUGCAAGAUUUGGAUAAUAAUAGUAUAACUGUUAAACAGAGAUGCAAAAGGAAAAUAGAAGCAGCUGGAGUGAUACAGUCUUACGCCAAAGAGGCCAAAAGGAUUCUUGAAGAUCAUGGCUCACCUGCUGGAGAGAUUGAUGAUGAAGACAAAGACAAGGAUGAAACUGAAACAGUUAAGCAGACUCAAACAUCUGAGGUGUAUGAUGGUCCCAAAAAUAUAAGAUCUGAUAUUUCUGAUCAAGAGGAAGAUGAAGAAAGUGAAGGAUGUCCAGUGUCUAUUAAUUUGUCUAAAGCUGAAACUCAGGCUUUAACUAAUUAUGGAAGUGGAGAAGAUGAAAAUGAGGAGGAAGAAAUGGAAGAAUUUGAAGAAGGCCCCGUGGAUGUCCAGACUUCCCUUCAGGCUAACACUGAAGCUACCGAAGAAAAUGAACAUGAUGAACAGGUCCUACAACAUGACUUUCAGAAGACAGCAGAAAGCAAAAAUGUCCCACUGGAACAAGAAGCCACUAGUAAAGAUGACCAAGAUAACUCUCCUGUGAAACCCUGUUACCUCAAUAUCUUGGAAGAUGAGCAACCUUUAAAUAGUGCUUCCCAUAAGGACUCACCUGCUACUGUUGAUUCAACUGCAGAGCCUAACCCUUUGCCGUUACCUUUACCUGAAAUGGAACCUUUAGUGCCUAGAGUCAAAGAAGUUAAAUCUGCUCAGGAAACUCCUGAAAGCUCUCUGGCUGGAAGUCCUGAUACUGAAUCUCCAGUGUUAGUGAAUGACUAUAUUUGUCUUUUACAGUUUGGUGUCAGAGUGGGAUUUGAAAGAGACCCCCUGUGGCCUCUGGAAGCAUCAAGGAACCAGGCAAAAGGUGCCCAUUGUGCUCACUGCUUUCUCGCUGCAUCUGGAGGUCCUGAGAAGCAGAAUCUGGUAAUAUAAGUCAAAAGUCUGAUGAAGAAGAUUUUGUAAAAGUUGAAGAUUUACCACUGAAACUGACAAUAUAUUCAGAGGCAGAUAUAAGGAAGAAAAUGGUAGAAGAAGAACAGAAAAACCAUUUAUCUGGUGAAAUAUGUGAACUGCAGACUGAAGAAUUAGCUGGAAAUUCUCAGACACUAAAAGAACCCGAAACGGUGGGAGCCCAGAGUAUAUGAGAUGUCUUCAGAGGCUCAUCUAACUCUGUCCUUACAUAGUCAAUGCAUAUAUGAAAACAAUACUAAAUAAACAUCUGAUCUGUAUAAAAAUGUAAAUUAGUUUGACACUGCUUUUUUGAUAGGUAUGGUCAUUUCUCCCCACAGUAUAAAACAUCAGAAACUGAAUUCUGGACAGAUUUAAGCCUUGACACACUGUGGUGUUUUUUUUUUUGUUUUUUUUUGUUUUUUUUCCUUCUUUGGUCUUGAUUUUUUUCCCCAUUGUGAUGUUUGGUAACGAAUUUAAAAUGUAGUUUUAAAUAAAGUUUGGACUCAUCUAUAAAGUAUCUUUUUUGGAAAUUAUGUUGAAUUCUUACAGCAAGUCAAUGUUUUAUAUAAUUUUAGGCUGCUCAGAAAAGAGCAGUGGUUAAGAGUUAGAGAAAUAUAUUAUUUGUUAUAAAGCCCAUCUAUUAGGCCAGUCUUCCAAAUAAUGCCAGUGUUGCUGCUGUUGGGUCUAAUGUUCUUUUAGAUACCUGCAGGUCCUAUUCCUGUAUAAGAAUAGGGCAGAUUAUCAAGGUAUCCAGGAUACCUGUGAAGUUACAGAAUAUUUAUUAAUCCAUUGAUUAAUUUUCAUUUUUCAAGUGGGAAUAAGUAGAACUAAAUUUCUAUAAUAAAAUAGUAAGAUUCUAUAUGUCUUCUGAUAAACUUGGCUAUUGAGAUGGUAAUUUAAAGCCAAAGCAUAGCAGUUUCUUUUGUGUGUAGUGAGGUUGAAGCACAUUUGCAGGUGAAGUAUUGAAAGUUUAUGUGACUUGAAGUAAAUCAGCUUUGAAAGGUGAUUUACUUUUUAUCCCAGAUUCUCCAUAUACCCAGUAAAGCUUCAAAAACCCAGAUAACAAUGAAUUAGUCAACCUUAUAGAUUCUUCCUCGAAUACAAAGAAUUAGUUCCAAUAAGUAUUUUAACUUUGUUAACAACUGAAAUACCCCAUAAAAAAAGAACUUGUUGAGUAUUCCUUUAAAAUUGUUACUUGCUGCCCAGGCACCAUGGCUCACUCCUGUAAUCCCAGCACUUUGGGAGGCUGAGGCGGGCAGAUCAUGAGGGCAAGAGAUCGAGACCAUCUUGGCCAACAUGGUGAAACCCCAUCUCUACUGAAAAUACAAAAAUUAGCUGGGAGAGGUGGCGCACACCUGUAGUCCCAGCUACUUGGGAGCCUGAGGCAGAAGAAUAGGUUGAACCUGGGAGAUGAAGGUUGCAGGUUGCAGUGAGCCGAGAUCAUGCCACUGUACUCCAGCCUGGUGACAGAGCGAGACUCCAUCUUAAAAAAAAAAAAAAAAAGUUGCUGUAUACCUCAGUGUAAUGUCCGUUCAAGGAGUAUUAAAUGAGGAUUUCUCUAUGAGGACAUUUACUGUAUUGCUACUUAAAUUAUGGAAGACAGUGUAUCUUCAAUUUUAAUAAAACCUAUUCAGAAAAUUACCAGUUCAGAAUUAGAAGUUCUUAUCCAGGUGCUCUAACUUCAGGGAAAUUGGAACAAUAAGUUAUGUUACAUGCAUACUCAAAUUCUUUAUUUUCUAGACUUUAAGCAGGAAAGGGUAAAUACUUUGUUUUGGUACUCAAGCCAAGCCUUACAUAUUGUGUGUGUCUCUCUCUCUGCAUGCAUAUUAAAGUGAAAAAAUUGUAUUUAUAUCUUAGUUAUUACCAUAGUACUUACAAACCUUAUCAAAAUUGCUUAUUUGACUUGUGUUACAGCUGCUAUUAAUCUAAGUCUAUUGUUUUUCUAUUUUAGUAGAUAAUUUAGUUUUAAAAUACCUAGGGUUUGAGAGCAGAUAUAUUUAUUUAAUCUGUUUAGUAAACUAUUGCUGAAGGGUUAGGCAUUUAAUAUUCCUAUUUGUCCUAAUUUUGAAGUUAAAAAUUUUGGUUACAGAUAGAGGGAGAAAAGGUCAAACUGAGUGAGAGAGAAUUUUAUGCAGGUUGAGAUAAUGCCUAAAAUAAUGAGCUGGCCGGACUGUUGAGGUACUCUUUGUAUUUUGUACCACUGACUUUGGGUAAAUGCUUUUUCACUGGUAAUAAAUAUAUAUCCUGUAUACAA